GUCAACYUAAGUGGGGAAAAAUACUAAGCAGAAUUAUAAUUUUUAAUUACACUAUUGUGGUGAAAUAUUAUAUAUAUUGUAACUGCUAAGAUUUUCAAAAGAACUGACAAUUAGUCUAAAACAAGGAUUAGAUACCCUUUUAUUUAAUGCGAAAAAAUUUUUGCGGGGCAUUAGAACCACCAGGUCCAAACCCAAUCAAUAUGGCGGUAAUUUUUACUUAGGGGAACUUACUACAUAAAUGAUAACCACCAAGGUCACCCAACUCUAGGAAAUUCUUGUAUGCCGCCGUUUACAGGUAACAGAUAUUUUGUUACCCCCCAUUGGGAAAGUAAAGACAGGUCAAGGUGCAGACAACCCUAGAGAUAAUAGCGAGUUACAAUGAAUAAUAUGUGCGGAAUGAUUUUCUACAAUAAUCAUGAAGUAGGACUUAACAGUAAUAUGUAUUAAAUUUCCCAUAUGAAGCCACACAAUUGUGCACAA
rnacentral:rRNA from 1 species